CCAUUUGGAAAAAAUUGUCACCA
rnacentral:piRNA from 1 species